UCCUUAUCAAGAGAGGUGGAGGGAAUCGGCCCUAUGAAACCCGGCAACCACAUUUAAACAUGUACGGUGCCAAUUCCUGCAGGCAUGCUGCCUGAAAGAUGAGGG
rnacentral:ncRNA from 2 species